GACAGAGGAGCCAAGCGUUGUCCGGAUUGACUGGGCGUAAAGGGCACGCAGGUGGUCGCGCAAGUGUGAUGUGAAAGCGGCUCGCUUAACGAGCCGAGGCCAUCGCCGACUGCGUAACUCGAGCGCGAGAGAGGUCCGUGGAAUUGCCGGUGUAGUGGUGAAAUGCGUAGAGAUCGGCAGGAACACCCAGGGGGAAACCAGCGGACUGGCUCGUUGCUGACACUGAGGUGCGACAGCGUGGGGAGCGAAACGGGAUUAAGCAAACC
rnacentral:rRNA from 1 species